GACUAGCCUAAAAAGUCAAAUGGUGGAUAAACUGUUUAAAUUAAAUGGGGAACCUUCCUCAAAGGCUAAAUAUAAUAUAUAAGCGAUAGUGGAAAGUACCGUGAGGGAACCAAAACAAAAACAGUGAUUUUAUAAGCAGUUCGGUAAAAAUAAAAAAAAGUUAGAACGUACCUUUUGCAUAAUGGGUCACCAAGUUAACAUUAGAUGCGAGUAGGAGGGAGCAGCCCCGUGCAUACGUAGUUAAACCGAGCGUUAAAAUAACGGUAAGUAUCUAAAGUUAGACCCGAAGCCUGGUGAUUUUACCAUAAUCAGGAUUAUAAAAGUCCGAACGGAAUAUUGUAGCAUAAAUAUCCGAAGAAUUAUGGUAGGUGUAGUGAAAGACAAUACUGACCAGGAUAGCUGGUUUUCUGCGAAACCUAUAACAGUAGGCAAUUUAAGUAUAAUAUCUUAGCAGGUACAGAAUUUAAUCUCAGACAAGACAUAAGGCUUAGCUUGUUAGCAAGUAAAGCUCAUGUUUUAUUUUGUACAAAUUGGGGGAUCAUGAAGAUUUUAUCAGUGAGUAUGUAGACUCGGAAUGGCAAAGAUAUAUCUUAAAUCAUCAGACAUAGAAUGAUAAGGUUGUAUGUCAAAAGGGAAACAGCCCAGAACAAGAGUUAAGGUUCCUAAAUUAUUAGUUGAGUGAAAUUAAGAAGGUUUUUAUUAAAGUCGACAAGGAGAUAGGCUUAGAAGCAGCCAUAAUUUUAUGACCUCGUAACAGAGCGCUUGUUAAGUUUUAAAAGCAUCGAAAAUUUAUCGGAUCUAAACAAUAUACCGAAACCUUGUCCAUAUUAUUUUAUAAUUAAAGCUUAAUUAUAAUUAAAUGGGGUAGCAGAACGUUGAGCUAAAUUAAGAUUUUUAUUUUUUAAAUGAAAUUAUAAUAAUUUAACUCAAGUGAUAAUGGUGACAUGAGUAACUAAAAGAAAAAAUAAAAUUUUUCCGCCUAAAGCUUAUGGAUGUAAUUAAGUAACGGCCUCUAAGUUUAUAUUAUCUAAAGAUUUAAACGAUGAGAUAAUCUUUUGUACUAAGGACGACAUUUUAAGUGAAAAAUGUACUGGAAAAAUAGUACUAAAUUAAUGGCUAUAGCUAAUUAGGGCUAUAAAAAAAAAUUUAUUUUUUUUUAUAAAGCUCGCUAUAGCUAUAAAUGAAAAGUAACCGUACCUAGAAUCUGAAACAAGUAAGCUAGUAGAGAAUACGAAGGCGUAAAUGAGCUAACAAUCAUAAAGGAACUCGGCAAAUUGACUACCGUAACUUCGGGAUAAGGAGAGCUCAUUAUUCUUGAUUAAUAUCAGGUAAAGAGGAAGAAGCAUGAAAUAGUGUUGUACGACUGUUUAAUUAAAACACAGCACUUUGCUGAAAGAUUAAAAAUCUAAGUAUAGAGUGUGAUGUCUGCCCGGUGCCGGCUGGUUAACAGAUAUAAUUAAAUAUACUAAUAUUUGAUGUAGACGGAAACCCCGGUUAAAGGCGGCCUUAACGUGAGGGUCCUAAGGUAGCGAAAUGCCUUGGCCGUUAAAUGCGGUCUUGCAUGAAUGAUGUAACGAUACAACAGCUGUCUCUAUGAUUGACUCAGUGAAAUUGGAAUAGCUGUGCAGAUACAGUUUACCUCUAGUUAGACGAGAAGACCCUAUGCAGCUUUACUGUCACUAAUUAUAGAGUAUGAUAAACAAUUUUCAGAUUAUAAGGUAAUUGACGGCUAGCUUGUUCAGCAAGCUAGCUCUAUGACAAUGAGAAUCCUUUAUUUUUUUUCAUAUGAAUGAAUUGGUUUAGGAUUAUGAGUAGGUAGCUGCUUCUGCUACUUGGCGCAAGCAUUGCUUGCGUCAAGUGUCUGAAGUAUGCAUUCCAGCUCAUGCAUAGUAAAUCAACCUAAUUCAGCUUAUUUUCCUUUCUGCCAUAAGCGCAUAAUGAUAGAUUUAACUUAAAUUUUGAUUUAUGCCGAGCCCCUCCGGGGCUACUGCAGAAAUAGAUAAGUACCCUUGGCUAAGGAACUAUCGCUAGGGGACAGUUUAUGUGGGGCACAGACCCUGUAAAGAGUAAACAGGAGUGUCUAAUAAUUUAUAAUUAUUUUGUUUGCGAUUUAAGAUAGUGAAACUAUUUUUAAUCAUAUAAAAUUAUUUAUAUGUACAUUCGUUGUAUAUAUAUUUAAAAAAAGGUAGGAUUUUCACUAUAUAGAAAUUAGAGAUAAUAAAAAUAUUAAGAAUAUACCUUUCAGGUAACACUAAUAUUUUUUAGCUAUUAAGACAGGCUAUCAAGCUAGGCUCUAAUAGUUAUGUAUUAAUUAUCUAAAAAGCUCAACGGC
rnacentral:rRNA from 1 species